rnacentral:rRNA from 1 species
AGGGAUCAUUACCGAGUGAAGGGCCUCUGGCCCGAGACUCCCAACCCCAUGUGACCCGACAUUGUUGCCUCGGGGGCGACCCGGCUCUUGAGUCCGGGGCCCCCGGCGGACUGUUCAACGCUGCAUCUGUGCGUCCGAGUCAAAUGAUAAAUCAAUCAAAACUUUCAACAACGGAUCUCUUGGUUCUGGCAUCGAUGAAGAACGCAGCGAAAUGCGAUAAGUAAUGUGAAUUGCAGAAUUCAGUGAAUCAUCGAAUCUUUGAACGCACAUUGCGCCCCUUGGUAUUCCGGGGGGCAUGCCUGUUCGAGCGUCAUUUCACCACUCAAGCCUCGCUUGCUAUUGGGCGCUGCGGUUCGCCGCACGCCCCAAUGUCUCCGGCUGAGCCGUCCGUCUCAAAGCGUUGUGGCAACUCAAUCCGCUUCUGGGAACGGGCGACCCGGCCGCUAAACACCCCAUACAAGGUUGACCUCGGAUCAGGUAGGGAUACCCGCUGAACUUAA